UGAGUUCUUCCUUCUCGUCGGAAAGGUAGUGAAGAACAUAAGGGGUGACUCGAAUUACAGCAACCCAAACGCCGAACAUAGCGACGUGAGAUCGGAGCUGCUUGAGAGCAACAGCCUUGUCAGGCUUGCGCAUAAACAUUCCUGGAAACAUUUUUCGUUUCGAUCUCUUUGCUGUAAGCCAAACAGAGUAUUGGGAUGAUUGAAAGUCGACG
rnacentral:misc_RNA from 1 species